GAUUGUCCAAACGCAAUUCUCGAGUCUAUGGCUCUGGCCGAGAGUUGAGUCUGGACGUCCCGAGCCGCCGCCCCCAAACCUCGAGCGGG
rnacentral:pre_miRNA from 1 species